rnacentral:lncRNA from 1 species
AUGUGCAAUUUACCCUGCAAAUAUACUUUUCUGUUGCUAGUAUUCUCCUUUCCUGUUCGGAAGCAACCUAUCCCAUGGACAUUCCUUUCUGCCCCACAGGUUCUACUUGGUGGCGAGGAAGUGUUCCUAGCACGUGGAGUCUUGCAUCUGGCAGGUGAAGGUCUCUUCUGGAACUGCUUCAAGCUGAAAAAGAGGCAAAGAUUGGGGCUAAACCUGGAUCUGAUGAAGGCAGUGGUAGGUGGGGGCUCCUUCCCUCUGCCACAGCAGCCAGUACCCCACCAUGACAAGUUCCAUGACUGUCUGGCUGGUAAAUGCCCUCAUGCAUUCCUUCAAACAGCGUAACAGACAUGUGCCUACCAUGGACAGAAGACACACACAGGUCAGCAGGCCCAAUAAGGGAAGUAGCCAUGGCAUAAUCUUUUGGAGCCAGGAGUAG